UACGUAGGGUGCAAGCGUUGUCCGGAAUUAUUGGGCGUAAAGAGCUCGUAGGCGGUUUGUCGCGUCUGCUGUGAAAACUCAGGGCUUAACUCUGAGCUUGCAGUGGGUACGGGCAGACUAGAGUGCGGUAGGGGAGACUGGAAUUCCUGGUGUAGCGGUGAAAUGCGCAGAUAUCAGGAGGAACACCGGUGGCGAAGGCGGGUCUCUGGGCAGUAACUGACGCUGGAGGAG
rnacentral:rRNA from 1 species